rnacentral:tRNA from 2 species
GCCCUCGUAGUUCAACGGAUAGAACAGAUCCGUCCUAAGGAUGAGAUGGGGGUUCAAUUCCCUCCGAGGGCACUA